CAACAAACAGCUUCAGAGAUUGGGGCUGGCGUGGGGACCCUGCACUACAGGGGAUGGCACACAUGGAGGCCAAUCAGCCUCUGAGCCACCUGAAGAGGGUGUGGUAGAAGCGGUUCAGGGGCAGCCUUCCUCUAGGAGCUUUGUUUUCACCUUCUCUGAAUGUGUUGAACAUCUGUACCACAGACCAGCUCUAAAGAGCCCCUUUCAGGACACAGGAAGAUUUCAAUUCUGGUCUUCUAGAUUAUAAUAGCCAGGAGGAGCUGUCUGAUGGCGAGAAUUUCAAGCCCCAAUUAAGGUCCCUCGGGAGGGGAGCACUGAACCGGAAAAUCUGGUACCCCACGACCUAGCACGCAGGAGCCACUCAAAAGUGCUGAACUUAAUCUUAGGAGACAGCGUGCUCUCAUGAGCAAAAAAAAAAAAAAAAAAUCCAGAACACGCCCCUGUGCCAUUUCGG